UCUUUUGCUUUCUUUUCCGCUCCAUCCCUCUUCGAUCUCUCCCAAGUCCCGAAGAAGAAGCAGAGACGAGUUCGGGAACUGCAUAAAGGUCGAAGGAGAGAGAGAGGGAGACGACAAAGUUGGGUGCGACAGCGGUCAGUGGGCGGUAUAACUCCUGUCUCUCCGCAUUCGUAAUUAUUGCCGAAAACAACCUCAAAGCUGCGACGGCAGCAGUCAGUGGACGACAGUGGCAGCAGUAACCCCUCCCACGUUCCUAUUUAUUGCCUACUACCGCCUCGAGGCCCGGUAUCGGCAGCAGCUGCACUCGCGCGGGUGGAGAUCGAAGGUGGGAAAACAAAGGUAGGCCGAGGAAGGAGGAGGGGAGAAAGAGGUCAUCAUGGUGGAGGAGGAGAACGGAGGAGUAGACCCGCGGUUGCAGGCCAUCAAGGCUGCCAUCCGUGUGGUUCCCCACUUCCCCAAGCCAGGGAUCAUGUUCAAUGAUAUCACGACCUUGCUGCUGCGGCCCAAGGUGUUCAAGGAUGCCGUGGAGAUCUUCGUUGAUCGCUACAGGGACAUGAACAUCUCCGCAGUUGCUGGAGUUGAAGCUAGAGGAUUCAUAUUUGGCACACCACUUGCUUUAGCGCUUGGCGCAAAGUUUGUACCAUUGCGUAAACCUAAGAAGUUGCCAGGUGAGGUUAUUUCAGAAUCAUAUGUGUUGGAAUAUGGCACUGACUCUUUGGAAAUGCACCUUGGUUCUGUUAACCGAGGGGAGCGUGUAAUUGUCAUUGAUGAUUUGGUUGCUACUGGGGGGACUCUAUGUGCUGCAAUAAAACUUCUAGAACGUGUUGGAGCUGAUGUGAUUGAAUGCGCAUGUCUGAUUGGGUUACCAAAAUUUAAGGGUGGUUGCUGGCUGCAUGGUAAACCGGUGUAUGUAGUUGUUGAUUGCCGACAAUAAAAUGCCAUCCAGAUUUCAAGACAGAGGGCAUGCGGGCCUUGGUUCAAUGGUUAGGAAGAUGUCAGUCGGGAGACAUUUACAUACAAGCUUGUAAUCCAAGGCUGCAAGGGAGAUAAAAUCAUUACAGGCAAGCAGCCGAGGUUUGAUGAAGCAUGGUAAGACUAGUUGUAGGUCGCUUUCUAGAUUCAGUAGUCGGAUUCUCUGUGAACACUGUAGAGUUCAGUUAAAGAAAUGAGAUUGAAUACGGGCAUGUUCCGUUUCAAUUGCUACCGUCUUUUUCAGUCAAAGAAAUUGGAUUUACAUACA